CUCAUAAGUGUCCUACAUGCGCAUCGCAGCAUCAACACGCGCAGAAAACAUUUGAAACAGGUUUCUCACGUCUGGCAGGUUGAAGAGCUUCUGUCCGAAUUACGUGUCCGAAAGUCCGGUUUCCCUCAGGUAUUGGCUUGAGGAGGAUAUUUGUGAUGAUCUUAAUGACUGAAAUGAACGGAGAGAGAGCGCGAGGGUGCGCGCGCGCACGAGAGAGAGAGAGUUGCGCACGCUGAGGAUACGUUAGGAUGAUUUUGGUUUGGAAAGCCCUUGGCAACAGCCGGGUUGAACUAACGCGUAAUGUUUGUUCAUCAAGAGGAAUAUUGCGCGCAAUGCGCAACAUGGAGCAGCUCCAGUGGACAACAAGAAACAUGCGCAGAUAUUUUCCACACAAGGAUGGCAGAAUCACGUGUUCACAUGAUUGCCUGUCCAACUUGACGUAAGAGUCUUUGCAAGUGUUUCUGGCUGAUGAUGACGUGAAUAAGAUCUGUCUUCUGUGACGUAACAUGGGAAGAAAGAAACUCAUAAAGGCUUGGAACAACAUGAGGCAUUGACUGUAUGUCAAAUUGGACACUUCCCUUGGACAAGCAGCCAAGGGAUCAAGACAGAACAAUUGCAGACCAUGUUUAACAAGCCAAAGCACAACAAAUCAACAUCUUCCUGUGUUUUCCCAACCAAUGUGAGUAUUUGAAAAAGUCUACAGCCCAUUUGGAGUACAUCACUUUCAGCCAGCUGUUGUCUGCCCUGUUAUAGCUCCCCCUAGCAGCUCCCUCCAUAUUUCCUUGUUCAUGCUAACCAUGAUAUCUAUUCUCACCCUAUACAGACACCAUGCAAGAUUUGUAAAAAUCUACAUACAGGCAUGCAUUAGGGCCAAUGUACAUCUCAAUGAGCCCAUCCAUCCAUUAGUGGCCUGGGCCAUUGGAGAACACAGCUCCUCUUACCUUUUCAGAUUGCUCUCUUCAAAGUCCCAAUCCCGACUGUACUUCUUCUUCCCAGCAAACACUGCAAAAGAGGCACUUCCAUUUUAGCUCAAUAUGGAGGGGUGUUCAAAUUGGACUAUACCAUUUAAACUUGUAUAUUGAUGGCCCUGGUGCCUCAAAAAGGGCCCUUUGGCCACCAAUAUCAAUGCAAGUCUCCACUUGCUCCAUUGCAGAGGCAUAUGUUAACCCCUAUUGACCAGCCCCCUCCUCAAGCCAAAGAUGACCUCCCCCAAUGACAUUCAAAUAUUCCAGCCUUCCAACAGUCAGAUAGUCUAUACAGAGAACCGACUGUCACUUCUGGAGGCAGCUGAGGGCACACAGAGUCUCCAAACAGGCCAGCUGCCAAGCUCUGCCAUUGGCGACACUGGGUGGAAGCUAUUCGUGUGAGGGCUUUUUAUUAAAAUUAAGCUUUAAGUAUUAAAUUAAGAGUUAGAAUAUACCAAAUUUAGUUAAAUAGGGUACUGCAAUAUGAGCCAUCUAUUGCACAGAGUUAAAAAAGCACACCCUUCCAGUGGUGUCAGUGUGUCCAAAUACACCUGGUUGUAGCAUUAAUAAAAGCAGCCUUAGCUUUAUAUUUAAAAUAUAUAUUUAAGGUACACCGAGCAACAUGUAUAAGUUCUGAUUUGAGACCAACCAGUGUAUGGUCAUUGUUUUGUAUCUAUAUGAAAUGCCUCAAUAUCAUCAUUACGCUGGCUUUAUGAGGGCACCGACAUUUCCAAGCUACUGUUUCUUUAAAGACAACAAUCAUGCUCUAAAAUGAGCUCUUCAAUUGUCUUGUUGUUAAUAAUGCAUGAAUCAGAGUACAAGAACGAUAUUCACCCGAUAAAACAAGAAAUGAUUAAUGGGGAUCAGUGCAUCAUUCUGUGAUACUUUGCACAUGUUCUGAACAUACAAACAAACGGAUAUUUUUGUCUGCAAAAUGGUGCAAACACAGGAUAUAUGUUUAAAAUGUGAUCACUACCGUAUUUAGAUGUGUUGAAACAUAAUGUGUGCUAAAACUAAAAAUAACUCCCAUGCACAGAAGCACUCAUCUAUCUAAAUGCACAGAGGUGUGAAGUCACAGGAUGAGUGUAAGGUCACAGUUGUUAGAAACAAAGAGAUAUGGGUAUUGAAAGGCAUACAGAUCUACACAAGGUUAUUUAUUUAUUUUUUAUUCUUGUCUACAGCAUGUUUUGUUCUGUGUAACAGUCUCAAACAUAUAUUAUACCAUUAGCAUGUAUGUUCUACGGAUUAAUUUAGUUUACAAUUUGAAUUAAUGUAAAGUAGCCUACAAACUAAAGAUCGGUGUGCUAUAAUCUAACCCAAUACAGGUUUGUAACGUUUGAAAGCAAAAGGAGAAUUUUAAGAAUUUUGUUCAUAUUUAUUGUUCUAUUCACUCUUUUGGUUUAAAAUUAUUAUUAUUCCAUCACCAGUCCAUUUCUUUUAAGACAUUUUAGUUCAAAAUUAGGUUUAAAAGAGCAAAUAAAACAGCUGUGGCUAUUCGUGACAUCUAUUUUGCAUUGUCUCAUUAUUUUGUUUGAAUCCAGUAGAAGUAGCUACAUUGGUAAGCCUAAUAUUUUAGCAUGUAAAUGAAAAGACUGUGAGGCUAUUCGUGAAUGAUGUUAUAGCAGGCCUUUUAUAUCAUCACCUCAGAACGCUGGUGGUUGGUCCAUAGUGAAAAAUCACCAGAAAACUUACGUUGUUACAACAUUCGUCAUCGGUAGCGGUGUGUAUACUUAAGCAUGUGCUUAGAUACAAAGACUGACUGAAAAAAAAAAAAAAAUCACAAAAACGCUUACCGGGCGUCGUGCAAAAACUGACAAUUGUGCUCCAAACCGCUGCAGGUGGGAUUGGAUGAAAAAAUUACAACGCAUUACAAACUAGCUGAAUCUUAGGGCGAAAACAAUCUAACAUUCGAGUGCAUGAUUAUUUUCAGACAGGCAUCACUGCUCGACGCUUUGUGUUUUUUUAGAAAUGACAGGUGUAGGCUACGCCGCCCGAUAAAGAUCUAACGUGAAACAUCGCCUGACAAAUGAUUAAUGAUUCUGAAAUGACGCCGGGAAGACAAUGUAUAAGGUACGAUAUUAAAAAAAAAAAA